rnacentral:rRNA from 1 species
GACGAACGCUGGCGGCGUGCUUAACACAUGCAAGUCGAACGAUGAAGCUGGAGCUUGCUCUGGUGGAUUAGUGGCGAACGGGUGAGUAACACGUGAGUAACCUGCCCUGGACUCUGGGACAACCCCGAGAAAUCGGAGCUAAUACCGGAUAGGACCUUGCACCGCAUGGUGUGGGGUGGAAAGUUUUUCGGUCUGGGAUGGACUCGCGGCCUAUCAGCUUGUUGGUGAGGUAAUGGCUCACCAAGGCGUCGACGGGUAGCCGGCCUGAGAGGGUGACCGGCCACACUGGGACUGAGACACGGCCCAGACUCCUACGGGAGGCAGCAGUGGGGAAUAUUGCACAAUGGGCGCAAGCCUGAUGCAGCAACGCCGCGUGCGGGAUGACGGCCUUCGGGUUGUAAACCGCUUUUAGUAAGGAAGAAGGGGCUUCGGCCUUGACGGUACUUGCAGAAAAAGGACCGGCUAACUACGUGCCAGCCGCCGCCGUAAGAC